CAAAUUAAAGCUUAACAGGAAGUUUUUUAUUUACAUUAAAAUAAAAUCGUGCAAUUCGAUAUAAUUUGA
rnacentral:tRNA from 1 species